rnacentral:rRNA from 1 species
UGGGGAAUUUUGGACAAUGGGCGAAAGCCUGAUCCAGCAAUGCCGCGUGUGUGAAGAAGGCCUUCGGGUUGUAAAGCACUUUUGUCCGGAAAGAAAUCCUUGGCUCUAAUACAGUCGGGGGAUGACGGUACCGGAAGAAUAAGCACCGGCUAACUACGUGCCAGCAGCCGCGGUAAUACGUAGGGUGCAAGCGUUAAUCGGAAUUACUGGGCGUAAAGCGUGCGCAGGCGGUUUGCUAAGACCGAUGUGAAAUCCCCGGGCUCAACCUGGGAACUGCAUUGGUGACUGGCAGGCUAGAGUAUGGCAGAGGGGGGUAGAAUUCCACGUGUAGCAGUGAAAUGCGUAGAGAUGUGGAGGAAUACCGAUGGCGAAGGCAGCCCCCUGGGCCAAUACUGACGCUCAUGCACGAAAGCGUGGGGAGCAAACAGGAUUAGAUACCCUGGUAGUCCACGCCCUAAACGAUGUCAGCUAGUUGUUGGGGAUUCAUUUCCUUAGUAACGUAGCUAACGCGUGAAGUUGACCGCCUGGGGAGUACGGUCGCAAGAUUAAAACUCAAAUGAAUUG